rnacentral:rRNA from 2 species
GGGGCUAAGUCGUAACAAGGUAGCCGUACCGGAAGGUGCGGCUGGAACACCUCCUUUCUGGAGC